UGUGUCUGUGUGUAUGUGUGUGUCUCUGUAUGUAUGUUUCUGUAUGUGCGUGUGUGUCUGUAUGAUACAGACGCAUACAUACAGAGACACACACACAUACAGACACACA